CGAACGCUGGCAGCGUGGAUUAGGCAUGCAAGUCGAACGGGAUCCGGUAGGCAGCAAUGUCGGCCGGUGAGAGUGGCGGAAGGGCGAGGAACACGUGGGCAACCUGUCUCUGAGGUGGGGAAAACCGCUGGAAACGGCGGCUAAUACCGAAUGUAGCGCCCGCUCGCAUGAGCGGAGCGCCAAAGGGGGCGAAAGCUCCCCCUCUCCGAGGGGCCCGCGCACCAUCAGCUAGUCGGCGGGGUAACGGCCCACCGAGGCUCACGGUUAGCUGGUCUGAGAGGAUGGCCAGCCGCACUGGGACUGAGAUACUGCCCAGACUCCUACGGGAGGCUGCAGUCGAGGAUCAUUUGCAAUGGGCGAAAGCCUGACAAUGCGACGCUGCGUGGAAGGAUGAAGGCCCUCGGGUUGUAAACUCCUGUCAUGGGGGAAAAGGAAACCCUGCCCAAUACGCAGGGAAUUUGAUGGUACCCCAAGAGGAAGCGACGGCUAACUCUGUGCCAGCCGCAGC
rnacentral:rRNA from 1 species